CAGUCGCCGCGGUAAUACGUAGGGCGCAAGCGUUGUCCGGAAUUAUUGGGCGUAAAGAGCUCGUAGGCGGUCUGUCGCGUCUGGUGUGAAAUCCCGAGGCUCAACCUCGGGCUUGCAUCGGGUACGGGCAGACUAGAGUGCGGUAGGGGAGACUGGAAUUCCUGGUGUAGCGGUGGAAUGCGCAGAUAUCAGGAGGAACACCGAUGGCGAAGGCAGGUCUCUGGGCCGCAACUGACGCUGAGGAGCGAAAGCAUGGGGAGCGAACAGGAUUAGAUACCCGUGUAGUCCCUGUCUCUUAUAU
rnacentral:rRNA from 1 species